rnacentral:lncRNA from 1 species
UUAGAAAUUGUAGCAAUGAUGAAAAUCAAAGCUUUUAAUUUGUGUUUCCUUUAUGCAUUGUUUCUUUUAUCUGUUGUGGCAACAGAGACAUUAAAAGAAGGUAAACAAUAUACGGAAGAGUCAAAGAAAAAUGUUUUGGUAGAUAAGCUUGAUGGUGGCAAAAACCCAUAGAUAUAUAAUCUUUUGAUCAAAAUAAGCCCGUUGGUGCUAGAAAUAAAACAAGGGAAGAAAGGAUGAUGGAAAAGGAAGCAAAGCAGAAGGAAAGGGAAGCAAAGCAGAAGGAAAUAGCUUUGGCAAAGGAAGCAAAGCAAAAGGAAAGGGAAGCAAAGCAGAAGGAAAAGGAAAAAAAGCAGGAGCAAAUAGCUUAUGCAAAGAAAGUAAAGCAUAAGAGAAUAGCUAUGCUAAAGGAAGCAAAGGAGAAGGCAAUAGCUAUGGACAAUAGAGAAUUGGCAAGGAGAAAGAGAUCAAGGUCAUGGGCAUUAAGAAUGGCAAGGUUAAGUGCUAUUAAAAGGAAGCAGAUGUUAUUGGAAAGGAAGCAGAUGGAAAAGGAAGCAAAGCAGAAGGAAAUUGUAACACCCCAAAUUUUAUAAUAAACUACUUUAUUAAAUAAAUAGAAUUUUAAAUAAUUAAUUUGAUGACUAAUAUUAUUUUAGAAUAUAUGUUGAUAAAUUUCGUGGCUAAUUUUUCUUAUAAGCAUGACUUCUAUGAUGUGCUAGUUUUAUAAAUAUUAGAUUACAUGAACG